UGGAAGAACGCAAUGCUACCG
rnacentral:misc_RNA from 1 species